rnacentral:rRNA from 1 species
CCUACGGGAGGCAGCAGUGAGGAAUAUUGGUCAAUGGGCGCGAGCCUGAACCAGCGAAGUAGCGUGAAGGAUGACUGCCCUACGGGUUGUAAACUUCUUUUAUAAAGGAAUAAAGUGAGGCACGUGUGCCUAGUUGAAUGUACUUUAUGAAUAAGGAUCGGCUAACUCCGUGCCAGCAGCCGCGGUAAUACGGAGGAUCCGAGCGUUAUCCGGAUGUAUUGGGUUUAAAGGGAGCGUAGAUGGGUUGUUAAGUCAGUUGUGAAAGUUUGCGGCUCAACCGUAAAAUUGCAAUUGAUACUGGCAGUCUUGAGUACAGUUGAGGUAGGCGGAAUUCGUGGUGUAGCGGUGAAAUGCUUAGAUAUCACGAAGAACUCCGAUGGCGAAGGCAGCUUACUAAACUGCCACUGACAUUGAUGCGCGAAAGUAUGGGUAUCAAACAGGAUUAGAUACCCGAGUAGUC